GACGAACGCUGGCGGCGUGCUUAACACAUGCAAGUCGAACGGAAAGGCCCUGCUUUUGUGGGGUGCUCGAGUGGCGAACGGGUGAGUAACACGUGAGUAACCUGCCCUUGACUUUGGGAUAACUUCAGGAAACUGGGGCUAAUACCGGAUAGGAGCUCCUGCUGCAUUGUGGGGGUUGGAAAGUUUCGGCGGUUGGGGAUGGACUCGCGGCUUUUCAGCUUGUUGGUGGGGUAGUGGCUUACCAAGGCUUUGACGGGUAGCCGGCCUGAGAGGGUGACCGGCCACAUUGGGACUGAGAUACGGCCCAGACUCCUACGGGAGGCAGCAGUGGGGAAUAUUGCACAAUGGGCGGAAGCCUGAUGCAGCAACGCCGCGUGCGGGAUGACGGCCUUCGGGUUGUAAACCGCUUUCGCCUGUGACGAAGCGUGAGUGACGGUAAUGGGUAAAGAAGCACCGGCUAACUACGUG
rnacentral:rRNA from 1 species